AUUGAACGCUGGCGGCAUGCUUUACACAUGCAAGUCGAACGGUAACAGGGAGCUUGCUCCGCUGACGAGUGGCGAACGGGUGAGUAAUGCAUCGGAACGUACCCAGUCGUGGGGGAUAACGUAGCGAAAGUUACGCUAAUACCGCAUACGUCCUGAGGGAGAAAGCGGGGGACCGAAAGGCCUCGCGCGAUUGGAGCGGCCGAUGUCGGAUUAGCUAGUUGGUAGGGUAAAGGCCUACCAAGGCGACGAUCCGUAGCGGGUCUGAGAGGAUGAUCCGCCACACUGGGACUGAGACACGGCCCAGACUCCUACGGGAGGCAGCAGUGGGGAAUUUUGGACAAUGGGCGCAAGCCUGAUCCAGCCAUGCCGCGUGAGUGAAGAAGGCCUU
rnacentral:rRNA from 2 species